rnacentral:lncRNA from 1 species
GCAUGAAUCAUCUUUCAUGAAGUUUUCCAUGGUAAAAUUGUGUUCUUUUUAGUCAUGAUAAAUUCAAUGUUUUACUUUUAAUUUUUUUUAUUUUUUUUUUCCCCACAGGACUUUAUCCAAGUAAAGCUCAAAAACUGCAGCUACAGAAACUCAUAAAACCAGAGAAGAAGAAUGAACAGCUGUCAACUUUGUGCAUCUUGUUGAUUUCUUUGAAUCUACCAAUCUACC